AUCAGCGAGAAUUUCUUCGCUAGCGUCUCCCAAGGCUCGUUGUAAAGCAAAGGAACGGCGCGAGCACCCCCGGCCCCGACGAAUUUCACAUACG